ACGGUCCUAAGGUAGCGAAAUUCCUUGUCGGGUAAGUUCCGACCUGCACGAAUGGCAUAAUGAUGGCCAGGCUGUCUCCACCCGAGACUCAGUGAAAUUGAAAUCGCCGUGAAGAUGCGGUGUACCCGCGGCUAGACGGAAAGACCCCGUGAACCUUUACUAUAGCUUGACACUGAACAUUGAAUUUUGAUGUGUAGGAUAGGUGGGAGACUUUGAAGUAGUCACGCCAGUGAUUAUGGAGUCGUCCUUGAAAUACCACCCUUUAACGUUUGAUGUUCUAACGAAGAUUGCGAAACGCGGUCUCGGACAGUGUCUGGUGGGUAGUUUGACUGGGGCGGUCUCCUCCCAAAGCGUAACGGAGGAGCACGAAGGUUUGCUAAUCACGGUCGGACAUCGUGAGGUUAGUGCAAUGGUAUAAGCAAGCUUAACUGCGAGACAGACAAGUCGAGCAGGUACGAAAGUAGGUCAUAGUGAUCCGGUGGUUCUGCAUGGAAGGGCCAUCGCUCAACGGAUAAAAGGUACUCCGGGGAUAACAGGCUGAUACCGCCCAAGAGUUCAUAUCGACGGCGGUGUUUGGCACCUCGAUGUCGGCUCAUCACAUCCUGGGGCUGAAGUAGGUCCCAAGGGUAUGGCUGUUCGCCAUUUAAAGUGGUACGCGAGCUGGGUUUAGAACGUCGUGAGACAGUUCGGUCCCUAUCUGCCGUGGGCGUUGGAGAAUUGAUUGGGGCUGCUCCUAGUACGAGAGGACCGGAGUGGACGCAUCACUGGUGUUCCGGUUGUGUCGCCAGACGCAUUGCCGGGUAGCUACAUGCGGAAGAGAUAAGUGCUGAAAGCAUCUAAGCACGAAACUUGCCAAGAGAUGAGUUCUCCCACACAUCAAGUGUGUAAGGGUUGUUUAAGACUAAGACGUAGAUAGGUGCGGUGUGUAAGUGUAGUGAUACAUUGAGCUAACGCAUACUAAUUGCCCGAGAGGCUUAGCCAU
rnacentral:rRNA from 1 species